ACGUACACUCCUACGGGAGGCAGCAGUGGGGAAUAUUGCACAAUGGGCGCAAGCCUGAUGCAGCCAUGCCGCGUGUAUGAAGAAGGCCUUCGGGUUGUAAAGUACUUUCAGCGGGGAGGAAGGCAAUACGGUUAAUAACCGUGUUGAUUGACGUUACCCGCAGAAGAAGCACCGGCUAACUCCGUGCCAGCAGCCGCGGUAAUACGGAGGGUGCAAGCGUUAAUCGGAAUUACUGGGCGUAAAGCGCACGCAGGCGGUCUGUCAAGUCGGAUGUGAAAUCCCCGGGCUCAACCUGGGAACUGCAUUCGAAACUGGCAGGCUUGAGUCUUGUAGAGGGGGGUAGAAUUCCAGGUGUAGCGGUGAAAUGCGUAGAGAUCUGGAGGAAUACCGGUGGCGAAGGCGGCCCCCUGGACAAAGACUGACGCUCAGGUGCGAAAGCGUGGGGAGCAAACAGGAUUAGAUACCCGUGUAGUCCCAUGAU
rnacentral:rRNA from 1 species